UAGUUUUUCCUCUUUUUACCUUCAUCUGCUCUACGUCAGAUGAGAUAACGAAAUGGUCAGCCCCAAGCAGGCUCAGUGCUCCCUCCUUUUUAGAAAUGCUUGUACUGAACACUGUGACUUUCAGUCCAAAAGCCUUCCCAAACUUAACUGCCAAAUGACCGAGCCCGCCAAGUCCAAUUACACCUAGAGACUUACCAGGUUGGUUCUUUGUGACGUAUCAUUGGAGUGUACACCGUGAUUCCAGCACAGAGCAAUGGCGCUGCUAGAUCCAUCGGGUAGUUUUCUGGAAUCCUGAAGCAAUACCUGUCAAUGAAGCACCACGAUUAAGUUUCCAAAUAACACCAAGAGAGGAAGUGGUUUCCCAAUAGAAUCAGCAUCCUGUCUUUGUUGUCUAAAAGGAAUCAAAUCACAGAGCCAGACAUCCUAUCUUCCACAUGCUUGGGAAUUUUACUUGCUUAGACCACAAUUCAGCAUCAUGUUGUUUCUGUGAUCCUUGUUCUGACCACAAAUUGCUCAAGACAAACAUUUCUUGCUGUAGCAAUGUAAAUAAAGCAAUUGCAGCAUACAAGAGGCCACACUCGAUUAAAAUUAAGAAAAGACACUUGCUCUAAGAAAGGAAACUGGUGGCAUAUCACAUAUGCUUGACUGAACACGUAAUUUCUGUAUUUCCUUCAAUCAAUUUCUCCAAAGGACUCAAGAUUCCUGUGGCUCUAUCAGAAACAAGAAUUAGUGAAAGCACAUACAUUUAGCUACCCAUUUGAUCUGAUAUUUAUGAUCUAACUCUAACAAUCUAAGGACAGCUUAUUCCAUUCUUGACGAUGGUUAUUCAAAAGAAAGAAUUUCUUUUCGCAUUUAAUAAAGCCAAUUCUCCAUUGAAUGGUUUGAAUGGUAAUUGGAUACAGAGGACUUAAAGACUCUCCAGAGUCGUUAUAGAAAGUAUCUUUAUCCCGUUCCACAAGAUGCAAUUAAUGCCUAAAAGCCAUUCCUCACAGUCCUAUGCAUUAUGCCACUUCUGGUCACAAUCAGAAUAAGAAGAAAAUUAGCAGAGAAGAAGACAUGACAUGAAAUCUUUUUUUGGCCACCAUGAUUUGGAAUUCUGUCACAGUGCAAAAUGCUGCCUAAUAACACUGUGUCAAUAAGCAAUUACCUUUCAUGGACGACAAUGUGACUAGAAUAUCCUCCCUUUGUGACUGUACCAUCCGCAUCGAUUCCAUCAAAAGUCAAAACCGCCUUUUCACAUUGGGUUUCUAGCCUGUCAUUGCAAUACUCGCACUCUCUGCAUGAAUUGACAUAAGUUCCCACCCCCACAUGAUUGCCAACUUUGAAGCGUUGGACACUGGAGCCAACCUGUUUCACAAUUCCAACUAUCUCGAGCCUGAAUCAAUCAAAAAAAUCAUUUGCAAAUUUUGUUCAGAGAAUUAUGAGGAUGGUGCUAAGAAAAAAAGAUUAACAUUCGAAUCACGCUGCAUCCUACCCUGGCACCAGAGGAUACUUGGAGUGUCCCUGCACAUUCCUAGUCCAAGCCACAUCUGCAUAGCACACUCCACAGUGCGUGAUCUUAAUCGAGACGUCUUCGCUUCCCACGGCCCUAAAGAGAUGAUUCCCAAACAGGUGAGCAUAUAAUCCAGUGAAUAAUCAGACUAGGGUACCUUUUUUUUCCAUUUUCAAGAUCAACAAACUAAGCUUGACCUACGAUUAUCGAGAAAACAAGAAACCAGAAAUGAGAAAAGGAAAAAUUCCAUGACUACAAGCAUAUUUGUCCAUACGGUAGAUACAACCUCAAAUGCUCAGAAAGGCAGCCAGUACAGGAUCCUCAUGUCUGCCAUGAAAUUCUGAGUAACCCAUAACCAACAAUUCUCGACCCAGAAUUCAGCGCAUACACAACAAAAGAAAGAACGAAAAAAAAUGAAAUGGUCUGGACCGAAAACUGUCUCGCAUGAACACUUCGGUAGAAAUCGAAAAACAAAUGGCAAUACCUGCGGGUGAAUUUGUAGGGGGAGAGGAACCCAGAAGGGUCCCGGGCAGCCCAACCGAGGCAAUCCUCCUUCCCACCCUCCGAGCUCAUCUUCUGUACCUACACACCCAGCGAAGCAAUCACACAAACGGGUACGGUUAGAUUCAUCCAAAGAAGAAGAAGAAGAAGAAAGGGUGAGAACUCGAACGAGAGAGUGCCCAAGAUCAGAGACUCGACGGGUCAUCACUAGGCGACGACUCGAGUCACAACAAGCUCGCCAUCACUCACUCACCUACACCCACCUACCCAAACACAACCCCACAGCAACUCAGAGAGAGAGAGAGAGAUGACUACGGAGAUGGAGAGAGGUUACGCGGUGGAGUAUGCGGGAGCGCGAAGAGGGUGAUGAGCCGAGCAGAGCCGAGGACGGGAGGUUCAACGAAGACUUUGCCCCCUCCCUACCUUGCAGGAGAGCUGCGAGUAAUCCGAUGGAUUAAAUUGGAAGGAAAAAUUAUCCCAAACUUUAGCUCAAUAUGUAACGUCAUCUAUAAAUUUUUAAUUUACUCGAUAUGAUUAUAUUAUAUGUUAUUGCAAAUUUUAAAUUAAUGGAAUAACAAUGUUGAAUAUUUUUAUAUAUUGAAUAUAUAUUAAAAGUUCAUUAACUAUAUUAAAUAAGUUAAAAGUUUACAGACUAUAUUUCGCAUUACAUUAAAGUUCAAGGACAACAUUAAAUAAAUUAAAAAUUUAGGGAUUACAUUGCAUGUUAGAUCAAAAUUCAAGAUCAUUUAUGUGGUUAUCACAAAUAACUACUAUCAAUGGAAUUACCAUUAGGAAAUUGAAUAUCUAAACGGAGUCGAAGAUAAGUAUUUAAGUUUGUCAUGCCCCGAACCCCGAAGGCGUGUCCAUCUCUCUUUGGUCGAUAAUAUUUUGUGACUUCUCAAGACAAGUCGUCAACCCUUUUUGUUUUAUUGCACAUGCGAAAGCAAAUAAUAAAUCUCCUGUUAGUAAUCAUCUUGGGAUAGAAACAUGACAACAGAUUCAUAAACAAACAUGCUUUUGUAAUUACAUAGUCAUGUAUAGGGUUUAUGACCAAAAGAUCACAAGGACUGGCUUUUAAAAAAGAAACGGUUCUAAUUGACCUACAUUUCUGAUCAUCUCCUCUCAGCUCUAGGUCCUUCACUUGACGACUUUGAAAGACAAUGUCUCAGUAAGUCCAUCUACUAAACCCUGAUUAUGAGGGAAAUACGCUUCAGGACACUCUAGUCACACAACCACACAAUUAGAUAGGAAACUUAUCUCGCCUUAGUUUCUUCCUAUAGAUUAGCACAAUUCAUAUCUCAAAUGCAUGCAAUUUAUGCAUAUGACAAUUAAAACGCCUUACUUUUCUUAAUCAAUUACAAGGGUCUCAGCCCAGUUCAUCAUAGGAGUCUCAAUUAUAAGACCAAACUGUUAUGAUACAAUCCAUAUCAUGCCACGCAAUUUUGUCUCAUAAUCAAGCGCAUCAAACUCAGACAAUCAUGCGUUCCAAUUGUUAAUUAAGCCACUCAAGGCACUGUCGACAUCCAUGUUCGAUAGUCUAUUGGCAUAGCCAGGUAUCGUCUCUUCCUCAUAGAGCACGGCUACGUCACAUUGGCGACUAUCCCGAACGCGCUUAGGUCCAGAAUCUACUACGACCCGCUACCCUAAUGCAUGGGUAACCUGAAAAGUGGGAUUUAGUAAUGUCCAGCGUAAACGCUAGGACGGGUUCACUUUAACCAACACACGACCACUCAAUCUCGGCCUAGGAUACUGUGCAUUGUACACAAAUGCCUUAAUUAAAGUAGUGAUCCUGGUAUAUUUUCUUCGUAUUAAAAACAUUCCAGAAAAUAGUCGUGUGUGGGUAUACAAUCAGAUUGAACCCAAAAAAUUCAUAACAUUCUUUUAAAAAAUCCAAUGGUUUAUACUGUAUAUAAAACCAUUUUCGGUAUUUAAAACCCGACACCCAAGAUUUUCUGAAUAAAUAACAAAUUUUAUAAAUUUUUAGAAUAAAUGUCCAAAAAUCCAAUUAACACUCAAUUUGCGUAAUUUAACACUCGAUUGUAGAAAUUAACCACACCAUUGCAAUUAGUACGAAAUUCCGAUCAUUGGCUAUCCCGGCCUAAUUUGCGGAAAAUAUUUAAUAAUUAAUUAAUUUCUAAAAUUAAUUAAAUAAAUCAAUUUAAAUACUAAAAUGCCAACCUAGGCCAAAAUCACUAAAUUAAAUACCAACACGGACCCAAAAAAUUCUUGAACCCUUCUAGAUAAAUAACACAAUUUAUCUAGGUCUCACUUAAUCUAAUCUAAUCACCUAACAUGUAUAAUUGCAUAAUUAAAUCACUAAAUUAAUCUAACUAACCACCUAAUUCAUAAUUAAAUAAAUAUAAACACAUCUUAGACAUCAUUAGCCUACUAAGAAGAGUUUAGUGAAUAAACUCACCGGUUAAUUGCGAAAACCGGUUCACUGCGAUGAUGACGUGACAGCAGCUGAAAUCCGAAUUUUCGGUAGCAUCGAUAGACACUCAGACCGGGCACAAAAACCUUGCAAGCCCACAGCAAAUUGCUAGGCUUGGUCUGGGCUUGACCUGAACUUGGGCCUGAGCUUGGGCUGACUUGCUUUGUGGGCUUGGGCUCGGAACAAAAGCUGAAAUUACGAACUAGGCUUGCGACACUUGCUGGGCUUGACUGAAGAUGGGCUACUGCGCAGGCUCAAAGGAGCUGCUGGGCCGGAAUUGUCGCAGUGAAGAUGGACUUCAAAUUGCUGGGCCGAGAAGCCUAGCCCGUUCACGGCCACAGCUGGGCUGAGCUAGGGCCGAAGACACAAAAUGGAGAAACGGGCGUGGAAGCUGGGCUGCUUCAACUUCGCUGGAAACGUGGAUGGCUUGAAGGAACUGAGGCAGCCACGAAGAUGGAAGAAGCAACGUCGACGAACUGCUUGGGACGAUGGCAGCUGGUGGAAGAGUCAACUUCGGUGGUCACAUGGGCUGGCUUAUUGACCGAGAGAGGGCAGGCGGUGGACGUGUGGCAGCUACUGGAUCCGCGUGAGGCUUCGGUGGGUUUUGUUUCGCGGAGAUGAGCUGCUCGGUUGAAAGAAAAAUCGGUGGUGUUGAGCUGGCGAUGUGCAGGCGUGCGUCGUUGAAGAUUUCUUGGUCAAUAAACGGCAAUAUGACAAAGAUGGUGGCUGGCUUCGGUUUUGAGGGAUAAUGGGGAGAAAACAAAGUUGCAGGUGUGCGGCGUGGAUGACCGAAGGGGAUUGGGCGAAGGAAAUGAAAAUAAAAGAAUGAAAGGAACGGCAGAAGCUGAGGAAGAAGUGUUCGUUUUUCUUGGUGAGUGAUAGAGAGACAAAAAGUCCAACACUCAGCCAAAUUCAUAAAUGCUUGGUCCCCUUAGACCUUCACUCUUAUCCCUUUUGUCUCCAAUUACUUUCUAAGCUUUCUCUUCACCAAUAAACCUAAUUUUGAAGCCCAAAAUUGUUGCCCUUUUCCAAAUCCGAAUUUCACAAUUUUUGGCCUUCAAUUUCUUCAACAAUUUCCCAAAUUCGACGUCCAAUUUUGAUGUAAAAAAAACCUACAUAAUUUCUACUAGUCCCCCUCGCCAUAUAGCUCGGUUUGCAAGGCGAAAAUCUCUUCAUUUUGACUGAUCCGAAUUUCCACUAAUUUUUCGCAACGUCCAAAUCGAUUUUUCGUAAAAAUCUCGGGAUCCUCAAAAAAUCUUCGGAGGAUGACGACGUUCCUAAAAUAGAUCGUGACAUGAUAGAAAUUUUAAUUUUUAAAAUCGGGUUCAAGUUCGCGGUUAAUUUCAAUCCAACGCGUUUUUAGCGUGACCUAAUCUACUAGGUAACUUUUAUGAAUUUUUUGUACAAUUGACCCGUGAUCGAUUUAUCUCGAGUCACAUUGUACAUAUUCGAUACAUGACGACUCUCGAUUGUUGUGAAAAUCUCGAGAUAUCAAUUACGGGCACCAGGUACCAAAACGAUAGAAAAUCGAUUUAGUGCCGAUCGACGAGUAUUUUGCAAUUAGGUGGAAUCACUUACACUCUAAUCACACAUCUCACUCAAGUUAACCUAUCUUCGGUCUCUAAUUGAUUUCGACAGUAUUGUAAUGACCCUUCCAGAUCAACACGGUUAAGCAAUCAAUUCCUGGUCGAAUUCUCAAGUCCAUUGUAUUUAGAUUCCUUAAUUGUUUCUCCAGAUAGUCUAGUUAUCUUGUGAGUGAUCGGCUCAAAGAAUAGCACUAUCAACGCGUCGACGAAAGGCCCAAUUUAUUUAAUUGAAAACGAAUUAUGAAAGUUCAAGCUGUCACAAAGUUUGCCCUAAGCAUUGAAAAAUAAAAUAAAAUAAGGGGACAAUCUAAAGAGUUUAGUACAAUUUUAGUCUUGGGAGUUUCUAUGUUACAUAUGAUCUAGUCCUCUAACUUUUCUAUUUUUAUACACUCAAAUCUUUUGUCAUAUUUAGUUUUUAUGCAAUUAAGUUUUAUUUUUUCAUUCAAGUCAAUCAACGUUCUCAACUAGUGCAAUCGAGUACUUCACUCACCCAUCAUAACACACAAUUCCAUUUUUCUUUUUCUAAGUUUACUUUUCGCUUAUUUGGCACCACCUCAACAUUGUGCGAUAUUUUCUACCUCAAUGAUAAUACUAUGUUAUUGAUUACUAUGACGCAUUCAGCAAGAGGAUUUAUUGAACGAUUUAAUUGCACGAAUCAAGAAAGUUAGAAGACUUGAUUGAACAAAAUAUAAAGUUAAGAGGAUCAAAUUGUGCCGAUAUGGAAAUUUGGAUGACUAAAAUUGCAUCAAACCCUUUUAUAGGGAGAUGGGUCAGCCACAAUAACAUAUUCUUUUUCAGUGACUGGCUUUGACACAACCAAUACAACAGUAGUACGAAAAUGAAAGAUGAGUGGACAAAAGAAGGGCAACAGAUGUUAAACGAAACCUGUUUCCCAAAAGCACCAUGCAGAAACUUCCUUUCAUUGGAAAAUUUUUCUUGAAACGGAACUAAAGAUUACUGGCUUCGACAUAAUCGAUGAACAUACCAAGAGCUGAGGCCUUAUCCAACAACAACGUGAAAAUGAAAAAUGAGUUGAAAAGAAAUGGACAGCAGCUGUCAAAUUAAACAUUUUUUCCAUGUCUCGUUCAGAACUUGUCACUCCCUCAUUACCAUCUUGACCCUUUUGAAAUUGGAAGUGAAGGUUACUGGCUUCGACAUGACCAAUGUAUAACUUGUCGCUCAUGCAAUAUGGUAUAUAGAAAUGAAAGAUGAGUAGAAAAAGAAAUGGACGAUUGCUGUCAAAUUAAAACCUUUCCCAAGUCAACUUGUCGCUCCCCUUCCUUCCAUUAAAAUGCUUUUAUGGUGGAACUGAAGAUUACUGGCUUUGACACAACCAAUGUAAACCCUCCAAGAGGUGAGAGAACUUAUGCAAAAGUAUAAAAAUGAAAGACAAGUCGAAAAGAUGAGGACAAUAACCAAACGCGUGCAACUCAAUUGCACUUUUCGAUAAGGAUAAACUGUACCUCUCCUCAUCAUUGAAAGAGAUAGGAUUAAACGCAGACGUGAUUGACAUAGAGAUUCUUACUAGAAAUUAAAUAAAAAUAAGUCUUUCUUGGUAACAGGAUGUUUGUUCUCGUGACCGUGUAGGUCUUUCUAGGUUCUCUGACGCGUGCCAUGAGGUCAUGGCAUGUUAUGCAACCAGAGAUAUCCAUUCCAUAUUUCUAUGGUAACUAUCCAUCGUUACCUCCUGUGAACCUAAGAAGAACAAAACCAAUCCAUAAAGCUGUGGAGGAUCAAGAACAACCCGCCCUAAGUUAUUGAUGAACUGAGUUAACUGUUUGAAGCCUAAGUAGCGAAUCAUUUAAAGUUUAAGCUACUAAAAUGUCAGAUGCCAAACAGAAGGAAAAUCUACAGAGCCAACAUCUGCAUCGGAUCAACGAUGGCAUAUCAACAACUAAGGGAAAAAUCUGCUACUAAAUAUUUAUCUGAAACUACAAGCGAGGAUCGCGUUGCACUUGCAUAAGUCUGUUAACGCAGGUCAAUGGUCAUGUUCUGGCCAGCUAUGUAAGAAGUUUGAAAACUCUACACGGACAGGCACCAUUUGCAAGAAGACCUGUUCCCUCAAAUGCUCAUCUUUGUACUGAGCUGGAAAUGCUUUUAGCAGAUGACUGUGCCUCCAGAAACAAAUCGCACGAAGUGGCCCACAAUUCUCUGGCAAGUCCGGUGUCGUACGAAACUGAAGAAGAGUUGAUAGUCCGGCACUUCCCACCAAAGAAUACACACCAGAAAUUUCCUAUAUUUGCAAGACAGCGGCUAUUAGUAAGCACUGUUCCAACAUAUAAUAGCAGCCGCAUAAGAUUGAUACCACAGAUUAUCAGCAGAGAAGGGAAAAUCAAUUCUGGAAACACUCUGUCAUACCGUAGAAUCAACAUUAAUGGAUUUUAUGUCCAAUGCUAGUACGACCUCAAUUGAGGAUAAAACGAGAGAGACUCAUUCAAGAUGGUUCAGAUAAGUGAAGCACCAGUACAGGAAUGCUUUACACCAGCCCCAUUUAGUGGGAAAAAAUCACUAUCACCCAUAUCUGCAGCUGUGGUUGCCUAUUGAGAUGAAACACAAGUGAUUUCAUUGCAGUCCCAUCUAGCAGUCCCAUCUAGCAUAUAGCAGAAAUUAAAGAUAACGAUUGCAGUCAGAAAAACACAUAAGAGAAUUGUUGCUGUAACUCUCUUUACUUUAUUCAUCAGAACAUAAGCCUAUUAAAUACGCAGAACAUCCAAACCACUAAGCAAGAAAAUAGCUAUAGAACAACAACAACAAAGACCCACUAACACACCCCACUGACCAGAACAUGUGGAGAAACUAACUCCUAAAAACAAGCCACUUCCUAUUGAAUAGGACUCCACUAUUACAUUAUUGAAGACAUGUAAAAACUGAAAGUUCACUACUUCAACAAUUGAUGGUGUCACUUCAAGGAGUUCUCAAUGUCGAUCACAAAUCGAUACUUAACAUCUCUCUUGAUGAGCCUCUCUAGAGCUUCGUUGGCAUAAUCGAUCGGUAUCACUUCGAUAUUUGGGUAUAUCUUCUGCGCUGCACAUAGGUCUAUCAUUUCUUGGGUAUCCUUUGUUCCUCCCGUUAGGCUACCUGAAACAGUUCUCAUAUCUGCCAAAAGUUCACCGCGAGCAACUUAGUUCACCUAUCAGGUAUAAAAUUUCUUUUAGUAAUCAGAUUUAGAACAAAAACAUACUGUGGUUAAGGCUGGCUGGACUGAAUUUAACUUCGCUCGAGCCGACCAAUGCUAGAAUGCCACCCGUCUUCAAAACAGACAUGUAAGGAUCAAAUGGGUGAUUGCCGGAUGCCGUGUCAAUUAUAAAGUCCAGGGACUUAGCAAUGGCCUGCGUGCAUUGGAUUUAUCAGAUCACAACAGAAUUUGACCACCAUGGAUCUCAAUGUGGGAUAAUUCUAGUUUUUCCUUUUUUUACCUUCAUUUGCUCUACGUCAGAUGAGAUAACGAAAUGGUCAGCCCCAAGCAGGCUCAGUGCUUCCUCCUUUUUAGAAAUGCUUGUACUGAACACUGUGACUUUCAGGUCCAAAAGCCUUCCCAAACUUAACUGCCAUAUGACCGAGCCCGCCAAGUCCAAUUACACCUAGAGACUUACCAGGUUGGUUCAUCUUGUGACGUAUCAUUGGAGUGUACACCGUGAUUCCAGCACAGAGCAAUGGCGCUGCUAGAUCCAUCGGGUAGUUUUCUGGAAUCCUGAAGCAAUACCUGUCAAUGAAGCACCACCAUUAAGUUUCCAAAUAACACCAAGACAGGAAGUGAUUUCCCAAUAGAAUCAGCAUCCUGUCUUUUUUGUCUAAAAGGAAUCAAAUCACAGAGCCAGAAAUCCUAUCUUCCGCAUGCUAAGGAAUUUUACUUGCUUAGACCACAAUUCAGCAUCAUGUUGUUUCCGUGAUCCUUGUUCUGACCACAAAUUGCUCAAGACAAACAUUUCUUGCUGUAGCAACGAAAAUAAAGCAAUUGCAGCACACCGGAGGCCACACUCGAUUAAAAUUAAGAAAAGUCACUUGCUCUAAGAAAGGAAACUGGUGGCAUAUCACAUAUGCUUGAUUGAACACGUAAUUUCUGUAUUUCCUUCAAUCAAUUUCUCCAAGGGAGUCAAGAUUCCUGUGGCUCUAUCAGAUACAAGAAUUACUGAAAGCACAUACAUUUAGCUACCCAUUUGAUCUGAUACUUAUGAUCUAACUUUAACAAUCUAAGGACAGCUUAUUCCAUUCUUGACGAUGCUUACUGAAAAGAAAGAAUUUCUUUUCGCAUUUAAUAAAGCCAAUUCUCCAUUGAAUGGUUUCAAUGGUAAUUGGAUACAGAGGACUUAAAGACCCUCCAAAGCAGUUAUAGAAAGUAUCUUUAUCCCUUUCCACAUGAUGCAUUAUGCCACUUCUGGUCACAAUCAGAAUACGAAGAAAAUUAGCAGAGAAGAAGACAUGACAUGAAAUCUUUUUUUGGCCACCAUGAUUUGAAAUUCUUUCACAGUGCAAAAUGCUGCCUAAUAACAUUGUGUCAAUAAGCAAUUACCUUUCAUGGACGACAAUGUGACUAGAAUAUCCUCCCUUUGUCACUGUACCGUCCGUAUCGAUUCCGUCAAAAGUCAAAACCAUCUUUUCACAGUGGACUUCUAGCCCGUCAUUGCAAUACUCGCACUCUCUGCAUGAAUUGACAUAAGUUCCCACACCCACAUGAUCGCCAACUUUGAAGCGUUGGACACUGGAGCCAACCUGUUUCACAAUUCCAACUAUCUCGUGCCAAUCAAUCCAAAAAAUCAUUCGCAAAUUUUGUUCAGAGAAUUAUUAGGAUGGUGCUAAGAAAAAAGAUUAACAUUCGAAUCACGCUGCAUCCUACCCUGGCACCAGAGGAUACUUGGAGCGUCCCGACAUAUUCCUAGUCCAACCCACAUCUGCAUAGCACACUCCACAGUGCGUGAUCCUAAUCGAGACGUCAUCGCUUCCCACGGUCCUAAAGAGAGAAUUCCCAAACAGGUGAGCAUCUAAUCAAGCAACUAAUCAGACUCAGUUACCUUUUGUUCUCAUUUUCCAGAUCAAUAAACUAAGCGUGGCUUACAAUAAUCAUACAUUCAACCCAAAGCAAAAUUUAAGAAAAGAGAAAUGAAAAGGAACCAAAUCCAAGACUAUAGCAUUUGUCUGAAUAGUACAUACAACCUCAAAUGCUCACAAAGGCAGCACCUGAAUCCUAAUGUCUGCCAUGAAGUUCUAAGCAACUCAUUCUGGGACAUGACAUCUCAUGCGUACGAACAAUUCUCUACCCAGAAAUUAGUGCAUACACAACAAAAUUUAUAAAAGCAAAACGAAAUGGUUUGGUUAAUGUGGAAAUUUAAAUAUAUGACAAGCAUCAAAAACUGUUUUGCAUUACAGGUGAGAGGAUAAGACCUGAGAACACUGUAUUGAGAUUAUUCAGACAAAUACUUCAAUAGAAAUUGAAAGUAUAAGGAGCAGAUGAAUUAAAUAAAGAACAAUGGUAACAGUAAUACCUGCGGCUGAAUUUGUAGGGGGAGAGACGUCCAGAAGGAUCUCUGGCAGCCCAACCAAGACAAUCUUCCUUCGCACCCUCUGAACUCAUCGUUCCUCAACGACCUCAACUGAAAUCGACCCACAAAAAAAUUGCUGCGUUAAUCUCUCAAUAAGCUGAAUUAUGGAAGAAGAAGAAGAAUUAUUUUCGUGAAAGAGAAAUGAAGAAGAGAAUUUCAAACCGAAAAACAGAAGUUCAAAUGGUCAAAAGGCCAAAUGUCACGAAGACUUGGCAAUUCCGUUUCCGUGCAGACAGGAUUUUGCUGUCUGACUUUUGAGCAAAGAGCGAGAUUGAUUAGCAGAGAACGAGGUUGAGCGCUCAAAAACCGUCACCUCUUUAUAGAUGCCAUAGCGUCGCCUGUUCUUGAUUUUUUUUUUCGUUUUAUCUUGUGGAAAAGAAUUAGUGCCAAACGUAAGCCAUUACCUUUCCCAGUAACGUCUUCUGGAGUACGGUUCUUGGUAUUUGCGGAAAUGUGUGUUUGAUGUGUGUGUAAGUGUGUUUUGUGUGUGAACUAUCAAGAGAGCAAAAGAACUAAAAAACGAUGUGAGGAAGAAAUAGUUGGACAAAAUAAUAAUGAGAAUGUGUAAAAGACAAUAAGGCUGAGGCGGUGAAGGAGAGAAACUUGAAUGAAAGUCAACAAUAGUGGCUGAAGAUGAAACUAGUAUGUGGACAGAAAGAGUAUUUGGAGAAGAAAAUGAGUUGUCUUGUAGCUGUACUGCGGCAGUGAAAAAGUGAAAAAUGUCAUGUCGGUUGUAAUUGCCUAUAUAGGCUUAUCAUAUGCUGUGUGAGGUGAACCCUUCACCUUGUGUGGGGUGACCCCUCCACUGUGAGAGGUCUUAGACCUCCACCAUGACCAUAUGAAGAGUGACUAUCAACACCUCCAUUAAAUUAUUUUGUCUUCUUCAAUAAGUUCUUGACAGCUGGAGUUUGAUGAAGAAACUUUGAUUCAUGCUUCUAUUUCUCAUGCACGUAGACUUCUUUAGCCUGUUCUAGGAUUUCUUCUUCAACUUGGCUUUUUCUUACUUGCAUUCCCAUGUGAAUCUUUUAGGUUCAGCUAGCAACCAUCAUUCUCAACAAGUCUAAACAAUCUUCAACAUGGAUGCUGCUACCAACGUUUAUUAAUUUUUAGACAGUUUUAGAGAAAAUGAAUUAUAAUUUCCAACAUAUAGUAUUUUGGAGAAAAAAGUAUUUCAGCAUAACUGUGCAAGGAUUUGUAGAUCACUACAACAUCACCGGAGGCAAAUAAUUAUCCGUCAUUGACAUGAACGAUAUAGAAAAAAUUCUUUUAAUCAUUUACCUUAGUUUAGCAAGAUCUGCUUAAACGACAGCCUUGAGUAUCUUCAAUUCCUUUUCUCUUGCCUUCAAAAAGAUAUUGAAAUGCGACACGGAAUAUCAAGACAGAUUGUCAUUGACAAAGCCGUAAAAGCCUACUCGAUCUGGCAAAACUGGGGACUGUUCUUUCCAACGAUCUUGACCACCUCGGCAGCUGCUGUGCAAAUGGAUAGGAAUGCAUGCAGAGGGACAAGCUGAUUGUUACCUGCUUUUAGUCGUUCAUUUGAAACUGUAAGAUUCAUGUGCCAUAAGAUAGCUAGACAAGCGAGCAAAAAAUGAUGCGCCUUGCACCAAAGGUGGCAAGAGCAAUUAAAUUAAAUUCAAACCAAAAAAAGCUUGAUGCAUAAAAUGAAAAGUCAUCCUUUGAGCGAAUAAAUGACAAAGUAAGUGCAAUGAGAGUCACUAAUGUUCACGCUAGACUUAUGCCAUGACCAUUCCUUAGUCGAGAGAACGUAAGCAGCGACAUCUUCUAGAUAGUGGUUACUAGCAAUUUUAUUUUUUAUCCCCAGCCUAAUCAUAUUAUCCGAGUUAUAAGCUCAGAAAGAAGUCAAUGAGCAAUCUACCGCUAGGACCUAUGAAUGGUCAUACGAUAUUGGUUACACAUCUUGUUAGAAUAUAAUAUGCGGAAAUAAUAGGAUCUUGCAAUUUACGUCAACGCGCAAAAUUCCAGAUAAAUAAACGAGAAAUAAUAAGAAUCAUAAAUUUACGUGAUUCAGUCCGAGUAUCGAUAUUUACAUUCACAGGGAGAGCCAGCAACAAAUAGUCCAUUAUAAUAGGAAAAUCAGAAUUUACAAUCGCACACACGCUCGAUUACUUCCCACACCAAGAUUUAAGCUCAUACUCAAAGAGUUUAUAAAUAAAUAAUUCACUUGGAAAUUAUCUCGCGUUCAAGCUUUAAACUACAAAACAUUCUACGUACGCCAAAAACAAGAACUCCGGCAUUUGUCUUUUGGUUCGCGUACAUACAGAUUCGUGUUCUUCUUUGCUUGAUCGUUCGUGUGGCGCUGUUCUAGACGCUCCUUUUGUGUGGCUCUUUCUUCUUCGUAGGGCUUCAGCGACUCUUUCUAAAAGAAAAAAAAAAAAAACGUGUUCUAAUUUAUAUGUGAGCCUAGAGUCUAACAACUUUGACUUUGAGCCCCACCACGUGCUUCUUUGUUCAAUGGGAAGUGGGACGCGGUGAAGAGACCCUACCUUUUUCUUCCUCUUUCCUUUAUUUUAUAUAUAUUGUGUGCCCAAAGUUAAGACUUUGACUUUGGGCCCCACGUAGAGAGCCUUGUUCGGCUCCCGUAGAUAGAUAAAGAAGAAUCUUUGCUCCUUUUUUGUUAUUCUAUUUUAUUUUCUCUUUUAUAAACUUUCAUGGAGUCCGACGAAGCUUUUUUUUGUUGAUCGAAAAUAUCCAAGACCCAAAAAGAAUUUCGAAUUUCUUUUCUUGUGCAUAAUCUUGAAUAUUAUAUUCAUCAGAAAAUAUCUUCACGAUCAAAUAAUAAAAAAUUUAUCCAAGCAAAUUGCGUUUUGCAAAUAUUUAAAAUUGAGACAUAAUUUAACACAUCUGAUAUGAUGUACUACCCAAUUACUGUCCUCUGACAAUUUAUAUUUGAUUAAUUUAUUUCAAGAAUAUUCAUUUGUUAAACUUGUUGGCUUACAAAUCACUGUCACUAUCACGUGAUAUAUCCUAUAUUGAGAAUACUUGGGAGCAUCUAUGCUUGUUUUAUGUAUGUUAUGCUUGUGAUGCAUCUUGUUUUGAGUGGACUGUAGAACUAUUUAAGUUCAUGCCAAUUUGACUAAUUUUUUAUCUGGAUAAGUGCAUUGGAAUAUUUAAAAACUUAUCAUAAAAAUACAAUUAAGCCAUGAAACUUUGAAAUCAAGUUCUAGAACUUGUCACGUUGGUCUAAUCUAAAUCCUUCCAUUGCAUUUUUGAAAAUUUCAGUACUUAACUACAAUUUUCUAACAAGUUUUAGUAUUUCCAAUAUACAUAUUUGUCUUUCAACCUCACUAAUGUUUUUAAGCAAUAAUGAGCUUGACAUAUCUCUGAUUUCGGAAUUUCAAUGGCUAUAGGAGACAAAAGGACGUCCUCUAAUGAAUCAACAAUCUUAUGCCAUGACAAAGCUGGAAGAGAGAUGAGUGUCUUCCAUAGUUAUAAAAAAUGUUCAUGCGAUAAUCUGUAGGAAUUCGUCUUCCUGACGUGCAUGAAUAUUUCCGGCCAUGAAACAUUUCACAGUGAAGACAUUCUGUCACUUAAACUGGCAAAAGGAUAUUGAGCUUGUUCUUUUGGCGAGGGUAUUGCUAUUAAAUAUGCCAAUUAAUUCCACGACUAUUAGCAUUUGUUUAAAUAGAGCAUACAACCUAAAAUGCUCACAAUGGCAGCUGGUACUGGAUCCUCAUGUCUGCCCAUGAAAUUCUGAGUGCCUCAGACAUGGCAUAUCAUGCACACAAACAAUUCUCAACCCAGAAAUUAGUGCGUACACAACAAAAGUUAAAAAAAGAAAAAAAGAAAUGGUUUGGUUAAUGUGGAAAUUUAACAUAAUGACAAGCAUAAAAAAACUGUUCAGCAGUACAGUAGAGAGGUCAAGACCUGAGAACACUGUAUUGAGACUUAUUCAGAUGAACACUUCAGAUAGUCACUAAAAAGCUAAGGAGCAAAUUGAAUAGAGAAGGGAAAAGUGCCAAAAAAGUCCUAAAACUUUUGUCAUUGUGCCGAUUUAGUCCUAAACAUUUUUAAGUUGUGCAAAUUCAGUCCUUUCCGGCCAAUUUUGCCCGGAUUUUGCUGACUGGACGCCAGUCAGCUGACGUGGACAAUUUUUAAUAAUAUUUUAAUAUUUUAAUAUUUUAUUUUUUAUUUUUUUAUUUUUUUUAUUCUGCUCUUCUUCCUCCAGCCGGUCGCCGGACCUCGGCGACCAGCCACCUCGCCAGUGGCCGCGGGGGCGGCCUCGCGUGGGGCGGCGAGGCUCACCCUCGCCGGAUCUGGCAAGGGUCGAGCCUCGCCCAUGGCCGGCGAGGCCGCCCUCGAGGCCUGGGCUGCGAGGCUCGCCCUCGUCGGAUCUGGCGAGGGCGAGCCCCGCUAGCUUGCCGGAUCUGGAUUUGGCGAGUGAGGGGGUUUGAGCAGGGGGAGAGAGUCAGAGGGGGUAAACCGCUGGCCACCCACCUGAGCCGCGGCCGUCGGCCUACGGCCGCGCCUGGUUUCAAGCACCGAAGCUUCGGUAGGCCUCGGUCCUUUUUUGUGCCUUGCGUUGGUCGGACUAGGCCAGAGCUCGCGGUCUUCAAGGAUUCGGUUCGAGAUCUGAGGGCGUUUGAUCUGGGCGGGACUUGAGAGAGAGAGAGUCCUCUCCCGGCCAAGCCGAGGAAACCCUGGCCACGUGAGACCACCGCCACAAUGCUGCCGCCCAAUGCCGUCCACCGCUGCUCGCCGACCCGCCGCCAUAUCCAGCGAGGGCGAGCCUCGCCCGCCCCGCGCGAGGCCACCCCCACGGCCACUAGCGAGGUGGCUGGCGAGGUCGAGGUCGACCUCACCGGCCGUCACCUCUGGCCGGUCGCCGAGGUCCGACGACCGGCUGGAGGAAGAAAACCAGAAUAAAAAAAUAAAAAAAUAAAAUAAAAAAUUCAAAAAUAUUAAAAUAUUAUUAAAAGUUGUCCACAUCAGCCGGCCGGCGUCUAGUCAGCAAAAUCCGGCCAAAUUGGCCGGAAAUGACUGAAUUGGCACAACUUAAAAAGGUUUAGGACUAAAUUGGCACCAAAAAAAGGUUUAGGACUAAAUCGGCACAAUGACAAAAGGUUUAAGACUUUUUUGGCACUUUUCCCAAAUAAAGAACAAUGGUGAUGAUAAUACCUGCGGUUGAAUUUGUAGGGGGAGAGAAGUCCUAGAAACCGUCAUAAAUGCCAUAGCGAUGGAUGUUCAUGAUUAAUCUUUGAGCUUACUAUUGUGGAAAAGUAUUAGUGAUUCGCCAAAUGUAACCCAUGACCCUUCCUUAACCCAAGAACGCAUGCAGUGACAUCUUCUAGAGAGCGGCUCCUGGAAUUUUUUCCAUCCAUCCUCCCACUACCUAAUUGCAUUAUCAACCUAUUGACACAUAAACGAUGUCAAUAGGCAAUGUGCCGUUGCACCACAAGACCCACAAAUGGUCAUCUAUGUCGGUUACACCACCAAUAAUUUGUACCUGACCCUUCAUGGUCCUAUUAUUUGAUUAAUCUGUUUAAAGAACAUUCAUUUUCUUCAAACAUGCUUUCUCACGUGCCACUGUAAUAUGAUGUUUGUUGCGACCUACCUUCGGAGGGAAGGAAUAGGUUUAGGGGUAUUGGCUAAAGGACGGGCCUAAAGCCUAUAAUUAGACGCGAGCUCUCCUAAACCUAUAUCCCGCAUGACGUUAGGAUAUUCUUAAGAAAUUUUGCUCGCCACUAACCUAUUGGGGUCGGCUAGAAACCAAGUGAGGCAUGGGAGCGUGCCUCACUUUCUACGCAACCAGAGAAUCUGGGUUCGAGGACUUAAUUACACUAAUUAACUAAUUAGUACCCUUUCGAUACCUAAUCUUGUUCAUUUUAACAAAAUGAUUUUUGGCAGGCAGUUUGAAUUGAUUUUAUACUUAUCCACUGACAUAUGAUCAUGCAGAUGCGCAAUCAUUUAAAAUAAUAAUCAUAACUACCAAGAUCCUAAUUAUAGUAAAAUUAACUCAUGCAACUAAACAAUCGCAGACACAGUCGAAUAUGUAAGUUAAACAUGCAAUAUAAUCAAAAUACGAACAAAUAAAUACCGAAUUACACAAAGAAGGGCAAUACACAACAAUUCCUAAUCAAACCCUAUAUUUUUGGAUUUACGAAUUUUUUUAUAUAUAUAUUUUUUAAAUUUAAUAAUUUUGUUUUUUUAAAUAAAUUAAAUUUUCUUUUUAAAGAAAGAUUUUUUUUUAUGUUUUCUGGAUUUUUUAAUUUUCGGAAAUUUUUUGAUUUUUGAUUUUUUUUUUUGAAUUUUUAUAUUUUUAAUAUUUAAUAUUAUUAUAAUCAGGAAAACGGGUCCGACUGGGUAGAUCCGAUGCGGCCAUUGACCCGACCCAAAACCAGAUUCGACUCUAUCGGAUUGAAAGAGAAAAUAAGAUUUUUAAUUAAUUUUUUUAGUUUUUAAACACUUUUUCUGUUUUUUCCUUCUCCUCCUUUUUUGGCCUCCUCCAUGUCUUGUCUUUUCCCUGCAGUCUUCUCAUCCUCGCCGCCUUCACCGAAGAUCCGCCCCCCACAUCUUUUCCACAUUUCUAUUCUUUUUUUUCUUUUUUUUCUUUUCACCACCCUUUUAUUUCUUUUAUUUCUUGUUUUUCUUCUAAGCUUUUCUUUUAAGUUGUCUUCUCUGCAUGCUUUCUUCUCCGCUCGAAGCUUCCAUUAAACACCCGAAACCCCCUCUGCCAUUUCAUACUUUUCUUUUAUUAUUUAUUAUUUUGCCUUUUUAUAUUUCUUUUUCUUUAUUUUUCAUUUUUUUUCUCUCUUUUUGUCCUUUUCCCUAUUUCGGCUAUUCUACUGCAUCUUCUCCUUCCGAAAGCUAACGCCAAUUCUGCAACUUCCUCGCCGAAGCUCCUUCCCACCGAAUCUCAUCCGCACACUAACGACACGGCCCUGAACAAUCGGUGACCCUUCCAUCGCCCGUCCACCGGUAGUCGCUACCCCACGGAAAGAUGAACAGGCGCAAAAGAACAACAAGAAGACAAGGAAUGGAACACGGGUCCCUAAGAUAUUAAGGAACUACGUCAACAUCAAGAAAUGUUCAGAUUCAGCCAUAACAACAACAAAACCUAAACGAAAUCAUGCUCAAUGAUCCAUAAAGGAUUCCUUUUACGCAAGACCGGAGCAUACUCAUUCCAAAUGAUCCGAAAUUCACGACCUAAUCCGCGUUAACUUAGUUCAAGCGUUUUAUCAAACACGUGGUAAGCACUGACUCGGGAUGAGGUUAUUAACUCCUCUUUGGACCCGCUCGAGUCUAGACCCAGAGAAAUCAUCAAGAAACAUGCAAAAUCGACCACAUCAACUUACUCAAACUCAGCGUGCAUAUGGGCUGACAAAAGGAACAAGACAUGGCUUCCGGUUAGACCAAAACAAGGUGGAGCAGCAAGGGUUCAUGCGAACAAGCAUCUCAUCACGGAGUUCCCUACCCAACUCGAAGACGGCAGGAAGCGGGCCAACUCGCGACAAAUCGAGCUAUAGCUCGCCGCUUUGGUAUCUUCGAGCUGGGACCCUAAUCGAAAUGCAUCCAUUUGUCUCAUGCACUAUGGGGAUCCUCGGGCAAGAGAGGUUUGAACCGAGUAAAGAAACUCACCAGCGACGCCGAGAUUCGGGGGCGAAAGAUCGUAUGCUAGAGGAUAUUGGCCAGAGGUCGUCGAAGACGGUUCGAGCGUGGCCGACCUGCUACAAAACUUCUCCCUCGCUUUUGUGCUGGUGUUUUCUCCGUUGCUCCUUCUGCCAAGCCCCCCGCUCCCUCUGUUCUUCUCCUGUUUUCUUUUAAAACUGCCGUUGGUUCAUUUCCCUUUGCCUCCGUCCAAAAUGCCUUUUGCUAGUCCACGAAGCCAGCUCUCUUUCUUUUCCAUCUUCAGCUCUAAUUUUCCUCGGUCAGUCCAGCCUCCUUGCCUCUAUGUAUGCCUGCAGCCGGUCUUCUCCUUGGGACCGAGUUCGGUCUAUUUUCAGCUACAACGGCUGCUGGUUUUCUUGGGCUUCGUCAACUGCAGGCGCUGCCACGCUGCAGCCAAGCUUUCAUUGCUUCCAUUUUUCUGAAAUCGCACUUGCCGAUCCUCUGCAGAUCCUUCUUCGGCUUCCUCCUGUUCUGUCUUCUACAGGUCCUGCGCGAAGAUUGGAGGAGGGAGAAGGAUGGGGCGCGGGCUGGGCCGACGGGGGGAAAGGAGGCUGGGCCGCGGGGGGAAAAGAAAUAUAAAAAAAAAAAAAAAUUCUUGAUUUUUUUAUUGACUUUUCGAUUGAUUUUUUUUUUUUUUGUAAAAAUAGGUAUCAACAAUGUUUUUGAUACACAAAAUACUAUCUCUUCAAGAGCUUUGACUCCUAUAUACUUGGGGCAUUAAAUUUUUUUAGCAACAAUGAGCUUGGCAUAUCUCUGUUUUCGGGAUUUCAGUUGCUAAGGGAAACAAAAAGGACGACCUCUAAUGAAUCGACAGUAUUUUGCUAUAACAAACUUGGAAGAGAGAUGAGUGUCUUACGUAGUUACAAAAAAAUGAUCAUGCAAUAGUUGGUAGAAAUUUACUCUGCUGACAUGCAUGAACAUUCUGAAAAAAAAACGGAAAACGUGCAUGAAUAUUUCCGGCCAGAAAGCAUUCACGAGGAGCUGAGAGACACUAUUUCUUAAAGCAGCAAAAUGAUUACAAGUUUGUUCUUUUAGGGAGUGGAAUGAAUAAAUUGUACAAAAAAUCCUAAACUUAUUGUCCGAUCACUAAUUUAAUUCUGAACUUUUUAAUUUGAUCAAUGUUGUCUAAAACUUUUGACAAUUUUUUGUAGUCCACCUAGUUAAAUUUAGGUCAAAAAUCAGUGACAGAGCAAUUUAGUAAACACUAACCGUUUUAAGUGAUACAACUGAUAGCUUAUAUAGAUGACUUAAAUGAGGUAGCGUCAUUUCACAAUUUUUUUUUUAAUAUUCUUUCUUUUCUUCUCUUUUAGUAAUUUUUUUCCUAUUCUUUCGUUCUCUAGUGUUCUUUUUCUUCCCUCUACUGGUGGCCGAUGCCUCAGCAAUGACCAGGGACCAUCAUAGGCUACAAGUGAGGGCAUUGAGCAAGACUUACAAGCCUUCUCCUAGAUUUGUGCAAGGGCCCUAUAGGCCCUCACUGGCCAUAGGCAAUUGGGGACUUGCAAGCCCUUGCCUAGAUCUACCCUCGCAUGGGGUCAAUGUUUACCAUCACCAAGGCCUCAAUGUCUUGCUCAAGAAAGAAAAUGAACAGCAGAGAAGGAGAUGAUAGGAAAAGAAAGAAAAAAGAAAAAAAGAGGAAAGGAAAAAAGGGAAAAAAUCUGAAAUAAUAACAAAAAAUUGCAAAAUGACGUUUCAUUUAAGAUCAUCCAUGUCAAUUGCGAAUCAUGCAACGUGGCCUACCUUGUUGGAUGCAGUAGAUUUAGGAUAUUUUGAAUAUUUUUCUCUUGUUAAAUAUGCCUGAUUUAUUUGAUAUCCUAAAAUUUGUCAACUUUGUGAAAUCAAGUUCUAAAAUUUGUUGGCAUUUUUUUCAUAUUGGAUGAAGUUAAUGAAAUGACUUGAUUACAACUACUUGAUAAGUUUUAUAACUUGAUUGUAAUUUUUGAAAAUUGUAGGACUCAGUUGCAUCUCUGUAAUAAGUUUUAAAACUUGAUUACACUAUAUGUAAUAAAUUUUAAGAUUUUCAGUAUAUUUAUCUCUAAAAUAAAUAAAUAAAUAGGGCCUACCCCCUUUACAUGAACUCUUUAAUUUAAACGCACCAUGGAAUUUCCUGUCCUUUUACACUGUUUCAUUAACUAAGAAAUUUUUUUUUUUUUGGGGUUAAAACCAAGAUUUAAUUCUUUCUUUUUUUUUUCUUUUGGACGAGCCAAGAUUUAGUUCAAAGAUAGAUAUUUCCAGGAGAAAAAAUUUCAGCAAACUAUGCAAGGAUUUGCAAAAGAUCGCAACAAUAUUACCGGAAGCAUAUAAUUAUUUAUCACUGACAAAUGAUAUAGUAAAAAUUCUUUUAGUAGUUUACCUUAAGUUUAGCAAGAUCUGCUUAUUCGGCAGCCUUGAGUUUCUUCGAUUCCUUCUCUCUUGCCUUCAAACAGAUAUAGAAAUGCAAUGCAGAAUAUCAAGACAAAUUGCCAUUGACAAAGCUGUAAAAGCCUACUCAAUCGAGCAAAACUGGGACAGUUUUUCCAGUGAUCUUGACCACCUCCGCAGCAUGCCGUGGAAAUAGAUAGGAACACAUGCAGAGGGACAAGCUGAUUAUUACUUGCUUUUAGUCAAGCAUUCGAAACUGUAAGAUUCAUGCACUAUAAGAUAGCCAGACAAGCGAAAAAAUGAUGGGCAUUUCAGUUGAGGUGUCAAGAGCAAUUAGAUUGAAUUCAAACCAAAUAAAGCUUGACGCAGAAAAGAGAAAUGUUGUGCAUUGAGCGAAUAUAUGACAAAAUAAGUGCAAAGAGAGUCAUGGAUGUUCUAGCGCUUUGGCCAAUUGAGUUCUUAAAAUUUUACUUUGCUUAAUUGAAUCCUCAGCAUUUUCAAUUUCAGUCAAUUGAGUCCCUCAACCUUGAUCCUCGGAAAUAGUCACAUGGCUAUGAUUUUCCAAGUUGAUAAGAAGAUGCUCGAGAAGACAAGCGGGUAGGAGGUGAAAUGGGACCUAAGUGUAAGUUUUACUAUUUCAAUAACUACAACUGAUCUGACAGAAGAUUGAACUUUCAUGGAUCUGGCACUUCGUUUGAAGCUAUACAAACAGAAAUCAGCGGGCUCAAGAACCCAAUCUUUUAGAUAGUUUCUGAAUUAUCACACAGAAAAGCACUAGGAUAUCUUUACGCAUUCACUUAUUUCCUCUGUAAACUCACAGUUAUUAAAGUAUAUUAGGCAUCAUUUAUUUGUAGUACAUUAGGUACAGAUGUCCUCUCUUUGAGAUUCCCUCUUUUCCUCUUCUUACGAUCAGCUUUGCCAGAAGAUGUUUCCAACUUCCGACAUUGAUGAUGUCAUUUCAAGGAAUUCUCAAUGUUGAUCACAAAUCAGUACUUAACAUCUCUCUUGAUGAGCCCCUCAAGGGCUUCAUAGGCAUAAUCGAUUGGUAUCACUUCGAUUUCUUGGUAUAUGUGCUGUGCCGCACAGAGGUCUACCAUUUCUUGGAUAUACUUCAUUCCUCCAAUAGCGCUACCCAAAACUGUUUUCAAAACUGCAAAAAGUUCACUGUGAGCAACUUAGUUGGUUCGCCUAUCAUGUAUCAAUAUUUCAUUCAGUAAUGAGCUUUGAGAACAAAAACAUACCAAGGUUAAGGCUUGCCGCACUGAAUGUAAUUUCGCUUUGGGACGCAACCAAUGCUAGAACCCAUCUUCAAAAGAGACAUGUAAGGAUCAAAUAGGUGAUUAGCAGAUGCCGUGUCAAUUAUAAAGUCCAUGGACUUAGCCAUGGCCUGCAUGUAUUGGAAUCAUCAGAUCACGGCAGCACUUGACCUCCAUGGAUCCAAAGUAUUGAUAAUUCCAAAUCUUCCCAUUUGCCUUCAUCUGAAAUGGUCAGCACCAAGCAAGCUCAGUGCUUCCUCCUUUUUAGAAAUGCUUGUACUAAACACAGCGACUUUCAGUCUAAAAGCCUUCCCAAGUUUAAUUGCCACGUGACCGAGCCCACCGAGUCCAAUUACGCCGAGAGACUUACCCGGUUGGUUCAUCUUGUGACGCACCAUUUGAGUGUAUACUGUGAUUCCAGCACAGGGCAAUGGUGCUGCUAAAGCCAAUGGGUAGUUUUCUGGAAUCCUGAAGCAGUACCUGUCAAUGAAGCACCACAAUUAAGUUUCCAAAUCACACCAAAGGAGUAAGGGAUUUCCCAAUAGAAUCAGCAUCCCAUCUUUUUUGUAUAACAGGAUUCAAAUCACAUUUUACUUGCUUAGAGCACAAUUCAGCAUCAUGUGGUUUCUGUGAUUCUUUUUCUGACCACAAAUUGCUUAAGACGAAAACUUCUUGUUGUAGCGACGAAAGUAAAGCCACUGCAACAUAUAGGAGGCCAUACUCGAUCAAAAUUGAGAAAAGAGGCUUGCUCUUAACAGAGGACACUGGAAGCAUAUUGCAUGUGCAUGACAGAUCAUGUAAUUUCUCUAUUCCCCUCAAUCAUGUCUCUAAGGGACACGAUAUUCCCGCGACUGUUGGAUACAAGAAUUCGUGAAAGCACGUAAAUUUUAUUACCCAUUUGAUCUAACACUUACUAUCUAACUCUUGGAAACAAUCUACAAAAAAGGGAGGAAGAGGAGACAGAAGGCGAGAAUUGAGCAAUUUCCAUCUCUCUCUCUUUUAAUUAAGGGUUAAUAUCCUAAAAAAUCCCAAACCGGUACACGUGACAAAUUUACCCCGAUGGACUAUAAAAAAAACCCUAAACUUAUAUAUUUAUGACAAAUUUACCCCAAACUAAUUUAUUCGACGGCAAAAAACCCGAAAAUGGUAAAUUUGUGACAAAUAUACCAUCUGCUAAACUGAAUUAAUAUCACAAAAAAAUCACAAAAAUUGUAAACUGUGACAAACGGGGCGUAAAAUUUCAAAUUGGUAUACUAGUCAACUGUCACGUGUCAUUUAACUUAAUAAUUUGACAGUAAAAUUUAACGAAAACUAACAGAGGGUAAAUUUGUCACAAGUAUAACAGUUUAGGGUAAAUUUGUCAAAUGUAUACCAGUUAGGAGUUUUUGGUGGUUAAAAAAAUAGUUUGGAGUAAAUUUGUCACAUGUGUAUCAAUUUUGGGUUUUUUAGGAUAUUAACCAUUUAAUUAAUUUAGUUUUCAAUUUUAUUUUAUUAAUUUUUCAUGAAAAAAUCAUAUAUUAGAUUUAUUGGCUCACAUGUCAUUGUCACUUGAUGUGUAUGAUAUAUAGAAUAGUCCAAGAAAUUUGACUUUAGAUACUUGGGAACCCGUGAAUGGUCAUACAUUGUCGGUUACACAUUCAACAUGAUGUAUUAGCUAAUCAUAGUCCUCUAACGGUUUAUAUUUGCUUAAUAUAUUUCAAGAAUAUUCAUUUGUUAGACUUGUCUGCUCACACGCCACUGUCACUUGAUGUAUAUGAUAUGCAGAAUAGUCUAAGAGCUUUGACUUUAGAUACUUGGGAGUGUCUAUGCUUGUUUUAUGUCUGUUAUGCUUGCAAUGCUUCUUGUUUUGAGUGGACAGUACAAAUAUUUAAGUCCGUGUCAAUUUGAACAAUUUUCUUUAUUAUAGAGCAACAAUCUUUAAUCUAUUGUGUUCUUGACCACAAAAAACCAAAUAACAAAUAAGUAUAAACUAUUGUAGGGUCCAACGACAAUCUUUAAUCUAUUGUGUUCUUGACCACAAAAAAUCAAAUAAUAAAUAAGUAUACACUAUUAUAAGGCCCACUCCUUUAAAAAUUUGUUGCUCACAACAACUUAUUUAUUCUCAUAAUAACCCAAAGUUAUGCUAGCAAAGCUCUUUUUAGUAAGUGUAUUGAAAGUUUUAAAAACUUGUCACUAAAGUGCAUUGAGUCCUAAAAUUUUCAAAAAAAUGCAAUUUAAUCUUAAAAUUUGUCAUGAAAUGCAACUGAGUCUUAAAAUUUUCAAAAAGUACAAUCAAUUAUAAAGAUUUAUCAAAAUUGGUCCAAUUUAAGUCAUUCCAUUGAUUGUAAUUUUUGAAAGUUUUAGAGCUCAACUAUGCUUUCCUAACAAAUUUUAGGACUUAAUUAUACUUUUUGAAAAUUUUAGAACUUAACUGUAAUUUAUGAUAAGUUUUAGGAUUUUUAGUAUACUUAUCUUUUUUUUUUUUUUCACCUCAUUAAUCUUUUUAGCAACAAUGAGCUUGACAUGUCUCUGUUUUCAAGAUUUCAGUGGCUAGGGAAAACAAAAGGGAUGUCCUCUAAUGAAUCAACAAUCUUCCUGCCAUGACAAUGCCGGAAGAGAGAUGAGUGUCCUACAUAUUUAUCAAAAAUGUUCAUGUUAUAAUUGGUAGGCAUUCACUCUGCCAACGUGCAUGAACAUUUCCGGAGAUGAAACAUUCGUGAGGAGCCAGUAAAGACAUCCUGCUAUUUAAACCGGCAAAGGGAUAUCAAGCUUGCUCUAUUGGCAAGUAUAUUGUCGUCAGAUCAGCCUAAUUAAUCCGAUAUUUUUUCAUACAAAAAAUCGUCAUCGAGGCCAACUUAAUCCAAAAUGCCAAUGGACAGGCUUUGGUAAGCUAGUGGAUAGGUAUGCCGCUUUAUCUUAUGUCGUGCUAUCUCACGAGAGAUGGUGCUGCGUUCUCUUUAGAAUGCACAUGACUUGGGAUAGGAAAACCUUAGGAUCCGACUAGGAGGAAGGAAAAAAGCAAUCUAUUGUCGGGCCAAUACAAGAUCAUUUCAUGUCAAACUCCGCAGUCUUGAGGCCAUGGAAUCUACGACAAACUUGCUCAUUCACAAGGACUGAGCAAAUAAAUGAUAAAAUAAGAGCAAUAGUCGUCAUUGAUCGUCUACCCUUUGAUUGAUUGGAUUCUAAAUAUUUUAUUUUCAAUUGGGGUCUAAAUAUUUUAUUUGAUUCAAUUGACUUCUAAACAUUUCCAAUUUUAGUCAAUCAAGUCCCUCGAAUAUUAACCGCGGAAAGAGGCACAUGGCUGUGAUUUUACAAGUGGCUAAGGAGAUGCUUGAGGAGAAAACCUGUUAGGAGAGGCGAAACCAUUCCAGCAGAACUCUCAAGAAGCCAAUUUUUCAGACAGUUUCUCAAUCAUCACAUAGAAAAGUACCAGGAUUUCAUUACCCAUUUCACUUAUUUCUGCUAUAAAACUCACGAGUAUCGAAGUAUAUCAGGCAUAGUUUAUUUGUACUCCAGCAGAACAACUAAAAAGGCACAGAUAAUGCUCUCCUCUAGCUGAAACUCCCACUUUUCCUCUCUGUGUGAUCAGCUUUGCCAGCAACAAUUUCCAACUACCCAAAUUGAUGUUGAAAUUUAAUCAAAUAGACUCAGAGAAGAAAACCCGCAAGAGAAUUGUUGCUGUAACUUUCGUUAAGAAAACCCACACGAGAAUUGUUGCUGUAACUUUCGUUAUUUUAUUCAUCAGAACAUAAGCCUAUUAAAUAGGCAGAACAUCCAAACCACUUAGCAAGAAAAUAGCUAUAGAACAACAACAACAAAGACCCACUAACAUACCCCACUAACCAGAACAUAUGCAGAAACUAACUCCUAAAAACAAGCCACUUCCUAUUGACUAGGACUCCACUAUUACAUUAUUGAAGACACAUAAAAACAAAGUUAACUACUUCAACAAUUGAUGGUGUCACUUCAAGGAGUUCUCAAUGUCGAUCACGAAUCGAUACUUAACAUCUCUCUUGAUGAGCCUCUCCAGAGCUUCGUUGGCAUAAUCGAUCGGUAUCACUUCGAUGUUUGGGUAUAUCUUCUGUGCUGCACACAGGUCUAUCAUUUCUUGGGUAUCCUUUGUUCCUCCCGUUACGCUACCUGAAACAGUUCUCAUAUCUGCCAAAAGUUCACCGCAAGCAACUUAGUUCACCUAUCAGGUAUAAAAUUUCAUUUAGUAAUCAGAUUUGAGAACAAAAACAUACUGAGGUUAAGGCUGGCUGGACUGAAUUUAACUUCGCUCAGGAAGCCGACCAAUGCUAGAAUGCCACCCGUCUUCAAAAGAGACAUGUAAGGAUCAAAUGGGUGAUCACCGGCUGCCGUGUCGAUUAUAAAGUCCAGGGACUUAGCAAUGGCCUGCAUGCAUUGGAUUUAUCAGAUCACAACAGAAUUUGACCACCAUGGAUCUCAAUGUGGAUAAUUCUAGUUUUUCCUCUUUUUACCUUCAUCUGCUCUAGGUCAGAUGAGAUAACGAAAUGGUCAGCCCCAAGCAGGCUCAGUGCUUCCUCCUUUUUAGAAAUGCUUGUACUGAACACUGUGACUUUCAGUCCAAAAGCCUUCCCAAACUUAACUGCCAUAUGACCGAGCCCGCCAAGUCCAAUUACACCUAGAGACUUACCAGGUUGGUUCAUCUUGUGACGUAUCAUUGGAGUGUACACCGUGAUUCCAGCACAGAGCAAUGGCGCUGCUAGAUCCAUCGGGUAGUUUUCUGGAAUCCUGAAGCAAUACCUGUCAAUGAAGCACCACAAUUAAGUUUCCAAAUAACACCAAGAGAGGAAGUGAUUUCCCAAUAGAAUCAGCAUCUUGUCUUUGUUGUCUAAAAGGAAUCAAAUCACAGAGCCAGAAAUCCUAUCUUCUGCAUGCUUGGGAAUUUUACUUGCUUAGACCACAAUUCAGCAUCAUGUUGUUUCUGUGAUCCUUGUUCUGACCACAAAUUGCUCUAGACAAACAUUUCUUGCUGUAGCAAUGUAAAUAAAGCAAUUGCAGAAUACAGGAGG
rnacentral:lncRNA from 1 species